rnacentral:rRNA from 1 species
AAUUGAACGCUGGCGGAAUGCUUUACACAUGCAAGUCGAGCGGCAGCGCGGGGGCAACCCUGGCGGCGAGCGGCGAACGGGUGAGUAAUACAUCGGAACGUGUCCUUGAGUGGGGGAUAGCUCGGCGAAAGCCGGAUUAAUACCGCAUAAGCUCUGAGGAGGAAAGCGGGGGACUGGUAACGGCCUCGCGCUGUUGGAGCGGCCGAUGUCGGAUUAGCUAGUUGGGGGUAAAGGCCCACCAAGGCGACGAUCCGUAGCUGGUCUGAGAGGAUGAUCAGCCACACUGGAACUGAGACACGGUCCAGACUCCUACGGAGGCAGCAGUGGGGAA